UUAUUAUUUGUUGUUCCUACAACUUGGAUAGGCGACAAGACUUUUGUCAGGGUGUGUAGGAGAGUCCGCAUGUGUAAUCUCAGUGGGAAGAGCAUUCCAGAGUUUGGGAGCAAAAUAAGAAAAAGCCCGGUCACCCAUAGAGUGUAAACGCUUUGAAGGAACAAUUAAAAAGCCAGAAUCAGAAGAACUGAGAUUUCGUCUUGCGGUGUAGACAGUUAAAAGUUCAGACAGAUAUUGUGGUGCUAAACCAUGCAAGGGCAUGUAGGUAAGCAUGAGAAUUUUAAAACUGAUGCAAAACCUGUCAGGGAGCCAGUGCAAGGACUCCAGGAUAGGAGGGAUGUGCUCACUUGUCCUGGACCUUGUCAGGAGUUUUGAACAUACUGCAGUUUGUUUAGGGUACAUUUAGAAACCCCAGCAAGCAGAGAAUUACAAUAGUUGAUGCGAGAAAAAAAAAAAAAUUGAUCAGUUUUUUAGCCACCGAGAAAGAUAACAUGGGGUGCAGUCUUGCAAUGUUUCUGUGAUGAAAAAAUGAAGUUUUAACCAUAUUCUGGACAUGACGACCAAAUGUUAAAUUUGCAUCAAAUAUCACCCUCAAAUUUCUUAAUUUAGUUUUAAACUCCAUAGCGGAGCCAGCCACCUUUAGGGUUACAGCAUCAGCUUUACGUAUUUGUUGGGGUGAACCGAUGAGCAUAACCUCAGUCUCUUUGCUGUUGAGACAGAGAAAAUUAUGAGACAUCCAUGUUUUUAUCUCAGAGAUGCAAUGUUCAAGAAAGGCAACAGCUGUAUUAUCAUCAGGUUUUAAAUGAAUGUAAAUUUGGGUGUUGUCGUAAUAUUUGAAUUAUAAAAUCAUUAAGAUCUACUUUACCAUGUAAUUCAAGGAGAUUUACACAAUAUUCCACUCUUCUAUUUUUACGUAAUUAAUACAGAGAAUUAAAUUUCAAACAUUAUCAAUGUUAAAUGACAAAGAUGAAGACUGUUGUCCACUAUUAAGAACACUUAGAGUGUGUGUGUGUGUGUGUGUGUGUGUGUGUGUGAGAGAGAGAGAGAGAACUAGGAGGGUCACACUGUUGUGGGAGGAUUUACAUCUGAGUGUUUUCAGCAAAUAUUCAUGUUAGAGCAGACACUGAAUGUGUGAAGACAAUGUUUCACACGUUUGUUUUGUUCUGUUUGUGCUGGAGGUGUCCAACUGGUAAGUUUUAAAAACAUUUUUAUGGCUUAAUAUCUCAUUUGUUUCAGAACAAAAUGACAAACUACUACUACACUUUAGAUUAUAUUUUAUUAUAUUUAUAUAUUUUAUUAGAUUAGAUUAUGUUAUCGCAGAUCAAAUCAAACUGAGAUUUUAUUUUGAGAUAUACUUUGGAUUCAGGUCUCUGGUAUCAGGGAAUUUUUAAAUUGUAAUUUGCAUGCCUGGAAAAGUCAUGAAAAUGUAUUAAAAUGUUAAAAGCCAUAGAGAAUAAUGAAAAUGUCUAUAAUGUAGAACUCGAACAAUGGAGGCUCAGAAAUAAAAUCCUCCAAAGUGCCGCUUUCAAAACUCAGGCCUUUUUUUUUUUUUUUUUUUUUGGUGAUAUUAAUUAUAUUAAUUUCAUACAAAAUGGACAAAUGGAAAUUCAUGCCUAGCUAUCAUUAAAAAUGAUUUAAAAAUACUUCUGCAGUAAUUAUGAAUGACUACAAAUGUAAGUAAGCAAUAAGGUACGAGAGGCAGUGCUGUAUCGUGAAUAAGUCAUGGCUGAAGGGCGUUGUUAGGCACGACAUGAAGCGGAGUAACCCCUUCAGCCGUGACUUAUUCACGAUACAGCACUAUCCUUGAGUACCUUAUUGCUUACAUAAAACGGUUACCACACAAUACAAAUAUUAAAGCCAAAAAUAUGUAUCAAUGCAACUUUCAUGAACUUAACUUUCACUAAAAGCCUUCCUUCCGCUGGAAAAAUAGUUCCUAACCGUGAACAGCAACAGGAGUUACAUUAUUAUGCCAUUAGAUGGUGGCAAAGACUGUCUUUAUGAGUGAGUCACUCAGUAGCGAAGACUUUUACACUGAAAAGCCUGAAUUGUUGUGAACACGGGACAAAUGCUUUGACUAGUGCUGUCAGGCACAGGAAAACCCCUUAACUGUUAAAAGGACAAGAUAAUACAUCAGACAUUUAAAAAGAUAUUUUAUUAUGAACAUAGGACUGACCUGAAGGAAAAUGCUAAGUCUGAAUGCAGAUAAUAAACUCGUUCAAUCGAUCUCUUUCUCACAAUACUCUUCUACAUAAUACAGUAAGCUUCAAUGAACAGUUUCAACUGAGAACAAACAGUUUACAUUGCUAAGAGUGGUUGCUAACGGUGUUGUGAAGUGAUACACAGAACUGUUGGGUGAAACGGUCAUAGCCAUGUUUUAUCGUGAAUAAAACACAUUGUCCAAUCAGAAUCAAGAGCAGGAACUAACCGUUUUAUAAUGCAAAUUAAUUUGUCAAAAACAAUUCAUAUUUACUUUCAAAAUGCAACUGAUUUCAUCCUUUGCAAACCAAUAGGAGCCUUAAUCUGUAUAAAACCCUUUUCUGUUUUCUGUUCUCCAGGUGUGUUUGGUGAUGAUGAAGUUAAGUCAGUGUCAGUGAUGGAGGGAGAAUCGGUCCUUCUACACUCUGAUGUCACUGAAAUAGGUAAAGACGAUGAUAUACUGUGGAAAUUUGUAACUAAAAACUCUCUCAUAGCUAAAAUCAAUAGGGAGAAACACAUCUUUUCCACAUCCGAUGGUGAUGGGAAAUUCAGAGACCGACUGAAGCUGGACAAUCAAACUGGAUCUCUGACCAUCACAAACACCACAAACACAGACUCUGGACUCUAUAAACUUGUUAUAUUUGGAGCUGAACAUUCAUCAAAAAUAUUCAGUGUUUCUGUCUAUGCUCAUCUGCCCACUCCUAACAUCACUAAAGAUGUUUCACAAAAUCUGUCAUCAUCAUCAUCAUUAUCAUCAUCAAAUUGUUCAUUGGUGUGUUCAGCGGUGAAUGUGGGUCAUGUGACUCUCUCCUGGUACAAAGGAAACAGUUUAUUGUCCAGCAUCAGUGUGUCUGAUCUCAGCAUCAGUCUCUCUCUACCUCUGGAGGUGGAAUAUCAGGAUAAAAACACCUACAGCUGUGUGCUGAACAAUUCAUACACCAACCAGACUCAACAUCUGGACAUCACUCAACUCUGUCACACAUGUGCAGCCGUUACAGCACUGGCCCCACAGACUCCUUCUCAUCCUCCAGUCUCUCUGAUAGUGCUGAUCUCUGCUGCUGUUGGAUCUCUGUUGAUUGUAGCUGUAGUAGGGAUCUUCUGCAUCUACAGGAAAUGUAGAAAAACAGUUCAGACACAGGAAGACAGAACUGAUUCAGCAUUGUGUAAACCAACAACACGAAAAAAGGUGUGUUUAGUGAUUCAGUGUCAGUGAUGGAGGGAGAUUCUGUCACUUUAUACACUGAUCUUACUGAAAUACAUGAAGAUGAAGAUAUACUGUGGAAAUAUGGAGCUGAAAACUCUCUGAUAGCUGAAAUCAGUAGAGCUGCUGGAAUCUUCUCUACAUCUAACAGUCCUGAUGAGAGAUUCAGAGACAGACUGAAGCUGGACGAUCAAACUGGAUCUCUGACCAUCACAAACAUCAGAACUGAACAUGCUGGAGUUUAUCAACUACUGAUAAGUGGAUCUACACGAUCAUCAAAAACAUUCAUUGUUUCUGUCUAUGCUCAUCUGCCUGUUCCUGUCAUCUUCAGUAACUCUUCACAAUGUUCUUCAUCAUCAUCAUCAAAUUGUUCAUUGUUGUGUUCAGCUGUGAAUGUGAGUCAUGUGACUCUCUCCUGGUACAAAGGAAACAGUUUAUUGUCCAGCAUCAGUGUGUCUGAUCUCAGCAUCAGUCUCUCUCUACCUCUGGAGGUGGAAUAUCAGGAUAAAAACACCUACAGCUGUGUGCUGAACAAUCCUAUCAGCAACCAGACUCAACAUCUGGACAUCACUCAACUCUGUCACACAUGUGCAGAUCAGGCCCUACCAUUGUUUCACACAGUGCUGAUCUCUGCUGGAUCUCUGUUGAUUGUAGCUGCCGUUGGGAUGUGCAUCUGCAAGAAAUGUAGAAAAAUUGACAGAGGAGGCAAG